rnacentral:rRNA from 1 species
UACGUAGGGUGCGAGCGUUGUCCGGAAUUACUGGGCGUAAAGAGCUCGUAGGUGGUUUGUCGCGUCGUUCGUGAAAACUCACAGCUUAACUGUGGGCGUGCGGGCGAUACGGGCAGACUGGAGUACUGCAGGGGAGACUGGAAUUCCUGGUGUAGCGGUGGAAUGCGCAGAUAUCAGGAGGAACACCGAUGGCGAAGGCAGGUCUCUGGGCAUUAACUGACGCUGAGGAGCGAAAGCAUGGGGAGCGAACAGG